GCUAGCAGCGCGGGCCGAGCGCACAGUUCCGCACUGGGCGGUCAGCUGACCCGGCGGAAGCCCGAGGCUGGCCGGGCGUGGGGACCUCGGCUCUUUGGCGCGCACGCCCAAGGCUCCGGGGCCAGCUCUCUGCGCAGAAAGAAAGGCAACAUUUACCUGAAGAACCUGCUCAACUUUGUAUCGUCCAGCCACAGGAGAGACGCACUGUGUCUAAGCGCCGGAUACCCUUCCGGAAUCCCAGCUUGGCUUGGAGAGGUUCUGUCACUUAGAGGCUGAAGAGCCUACCCUAACCUCAAUUAAAAUAUAUGGAACUCAGCAGAUGAGAUUCUGUUUCAGUAGCGGUGCCCUAGCAUCUGUAUUUUUCUCCAGUACCCCAAGUAAUUUGGAUUUAUGAUCAUCCAGAUGCACUGCUUUGGAAAUCAUCUGCUCCGACUACUUAGGAAGAACUAAGGCCUAACAAGUAGAAGGGACUUGCCCAAGGUCAUCCAGCAAAUGAAUGGAUUCCCCCAGGCCAGAACUCUGAUCUUGUGAAGAAAAUGAAAGAGGUCUCCUCCUAUAGCCCAGUAAGAACAGGGUGAGAGACUGGGGAGGAGCAACGGAAAGAUACCAUUUCACAUCUAAUCGCUUCUUGUCACAUUGUAACCAUUUCCCUCAUAUGGAGCCUCAUGCUGAUGGAUCAGAAAUAAUAUUUUCAAAGUUAUAUCUUCAAGGAAAUGGCUAUUAAUGUUCUUCCUCUCCUUUUAGAGCACUGAGGACUACAUAUUAAUUUUCUCUCUACUUAUAUUGCCUAUUUGCAAAUUGUAUUCACUACCCAAUGCUCCAAUUUGCCCUACCUAGAGAUUAUGAUGAAUAAAUGUGUUCCUGGAAAUAAAAUAAUAAAAAAUUUGUCACUGA